UCGAACGGAAAGGCCCUGCUUGCAGGGUACUCGAGUGGCGAACGGGUGAGUAACACGUGGGUGAUCUGCCCUGCACUUCGGGAUAAGCCUGGGAAACUGGGUCUAAUACCGGAUAGGACCAUCGUUUAGUGUCGGUGGUGGAAAGUUUUUCGGUGUGGGAUGAUCUCGCGGCCUAUCAGCUUGUUGGUGGGGUAAUGUUCUUCCAAGGCCUUUACGGCUAGCCGGCCUGAUAGGUUGGACGGCCACAUUG
rnacentral:rRNA from 1 species